UGAAUGUGCUGAAACACUCGUACAAAAACCUCUUUUCCAGUCGACUGAACACAAACUCCAGCAGAGACUCACAGACUGUCCUGUAUGCAGAAACACAUGACAGCUUUAAUAAUAAUGUUCACAACAUCAUCAAUCCUCUGAGUGUGGAAAACUGAGCCCAUCAUCAGACAUUUACAGUCAAUCAUUCAGCAGAAGCUUUAAUCUAAAGAGACUGACAGAUCACAGACACGGCUCAUCACUACAGCAGGAGAAACCACUGCUGACCACAUCUGUGUGCUUCUACAUUCACUACAGUCCAGUCCAGAGGGAAAUACACUCAGUCUGACAGUACACUGAAAUAAACCAGUCACUGGAUUUACUAAAUCUGUCAAGUGUUGCAAACUAUUUAUAUGAGCUGAAUUAAACACACACAUGAAGCUGAACAUCACUAAAUGUUGUUUAUUUGUUUAAAUUCAGCACAAAUAAACUGUUUCAGUGCAGUGAUAAUCAAUAACUGUGUGAGUGUGCAGUGAUGUGUAGCUGUGCUGGUGUAUUGAUCAGUGUAGACGGUGAUCAGCAGACGCUGUUGUAAAUCCUCCCACUGGUUUGCAUUGUGAGUGUGUGAGAGUGUUUCUAGUGCUGUGAGUUGAACACUUGAUGACUGAGAGCAGAACAAACACAAUCUUCAUCAUCAUCAUCAUCAUCACAGCAGACUCAACUACAGCUAUGAUCAACAUCUGCAUCUGGACGCUCUAUAUGUGUGUUCAAGGUUUGAGUGGACAGGUGACUGUAACUCAGAGUCCUGCUGGAAAAAUGGUUCAAGUUGGUGAAUCAGUGACGAUAACCUGCAAAUCAAACCCAGAAGUGGGAGAUUACUGUGUAGGAACACACACCUGUAUGGCCUGGUAUCAGCAGAAACCUGGAGAAGCUCCUAAACUCCUGAUUCAUUCUGCAAAUCGGAGAGAUUCAAACACUCCAUCUAGAUUCAGUGGCAGUGGAUCUUAUAGUGAUUUUACUCUGAGCAUCAGUGGAGUCCAGACUGAAGAUGCUGGAGAUUAUUACUGUCAGAGUUUCCACUAUCCGGGCAGCACUAGGCUGUUCACACAGUGAUAAAGUGCCGUACAGAAACCUGCUGUUCACACUGACUGCACUGAUUCAGCUGAGAGACACUGCAGCUGCUGAUGGAGGAACACACACUAGAAAAGCUCAUCAAGACUUCAAAUGUUAUCACACAGUCCUCAGUUCCUUCACUGUUUGCAUUUCA